AGUGAGAAUGGGCGAAGCCUGACCGCCUGCCGCGUGUGUGAAGAAGGUCUUCGGAUUGUAAAGCACUUUAAGUUGGGAGGAAGGGCAGUUACCUAAUACGUGAUUGUUUUGACGUUACCGACAGAAUAAGCACCGGCUAACUCUGUGCCAGCAGCCGCGGUAAUACAGAGGGUGCAAGCGUUAAUCGGAAUUACUGGGCGUAAAGCGCGCGUAGGUGGUUUGUUAAGUUGGAUGUGAAAUCCCCGGGCUCAACCUGGGAACUGCAUUCAAAACUGACUGACUAGAGUAUGGUAGAGGGUGGUGGAAUUUCCUGUGUAGCGGUGAAAUGCGUAGAUAUAGGAAGGAACACCAGUGGCGAAGGCGACCACCUGGACUGAUACUGACACUGAGGUGCGAAAG
rnacentral:rRNA from 1 species